CGGCGGACGGGUGAGUAACACGUGGAUAACCUACCUAUAAGACUGGGAUAACUUCGGGAAACCGGAGCUAAUACCGGAUAAUAUAUUGAACCGCAUGGUUCAAUAGUGAAAGACGGUUUUGCUGUCACUUAUAGAUGGAUCCGCGCCGCAUUAGCUAGUUGGUAAGGUAACGGCUUACCAAGGCAACGAUGCGUAGCCGACCUGAGAGGGUGAUCGGCCACACUGGAAAUGAGACACGGUCCAGACUCCUACGGGAGGCAGCAGUA
rnacentral:rRNA from 1 species